rnacentral:tRNA from 1 species
ACCAGUGUGGUGUAGUGGUUUGAAUGUUGGACUACAACUCUGGAGAUCAGGGUUCGAGUCCCUGCUUGGCCA